UCUAAAGAAAAGGAGGAAGGAAAAAAGGAGCAGUCCACCGCACCAUGGUCUGGAGUACUCCUCUUUCUCUCCGUCCAUGGUGACGAACUACGAGAUCUGGGCGUGAUCCGCUCCGUGGUCCGCUCCAUGGGCGUGAUCCGCUACCUAUUGAUCAGGACGAAUAACGCACGGUGACCGGAGGUGGCUCCACGGCGUUCCUAUGUCCACCCAUCUCCUCCGCUCUAGAGAUUGCGAAGGCGGCAGCUACGGCGCUGGAGGGACGACCUGGAUGUGCAGGCUACUCCCCUAUCUUCUGUCAUGCGGUGGUGACCCGGAGGCGGCGUGGGCAGUGCAAUGGUCCUGCCCGAGCUCUCCAGGGACAACGGCCUUCUCUGGUGUCCCUCUCCAUGGUGGUUGUUCUUCUCACUGGUGAGAUCUCCUUCCUCCUCUUAUUUCCUUCUUCUCCUCCAUGAAUUUCUGAAUUUCUAGGGUUAGGGUUCUUUGUUUUUGGGAGCGGUGCAGGAGAAGGGGGUGAUGCUGAGUUUGGCACCCUGCCAUGGAAUCAAUUCAGGCGCAGAUGGAGCUCAUACAGAAGAAGUAGAUGAGCUCAAGUCUGCGGAUGAGGAAUCAUGUUAGAGUAUCUUCUUUGUUCUAGCCAAAGGUACUAAUGUUUCUUAUCUGUUUUAGAUGAAUUGUUCCUUCUUUAUUCCUUGGAACUCCCCUGUUUUGGAUGAACUAACUAAAUUAAUUAAUUUCUCAUGGAAAUAGGGUAAGAGUGAAAUUUUGUUGGAGGGUGCUUAAUCAGCCAUUCCCCUUCUUAGUGGAGGUUCCUUAUUUUAAUAAGGCUGGUCUGCCAUCUAAGAUCUCACCGGCCCCUACAAUGUUUUCGGCGCCGGAGCCUUUGCCGGCAGAGAAUUUUGAUGAUGGAUCAACGGAGGAACCUGAGCAUCCUGAUAUGAAGG